rnacentral:lncRNA from 1 species
UACCAAGGUGGUCAAACAACCCGAUGGCUAUGGCUUACAAGAAGUCGGCCUUUAGAAGCAUGUUUAGAAGGGCACUAUUAUAUUGUACAAAAAGAGAGGCUUUGGACAAGGAAUUGAUAUACAUAAUGGACAUAGGAAGAAGGCAUGGAUACUCUAAAUCAUUCCUGAGAGGAAUUUUACAACAGGUUGAGAAUAAGCAAAAGAGGAGAGAUAGAGGAAGGCAAUGGUUUCUUACCGGUCCCUUAUGGCAUGAAGAACCUGGGAGUAAUACAAAAGAUAGCUAGAAAGAAUAAAAAAUGAAUAGCACCAGAAAGAAACCCAACAGUGUUUAAUACAUUAAGGAAUGAUAAAGAUAAGCUAGAGCAAACAAAAAAGAGUGGGGUAUAUAGAAUACCAAUAAAGGUUGACGACACGAAUGAAGAAACAGCAUACAUAGGAGUAACCGCAAGAACAAUAGAACGGUGUAUCGAAGAACAUGAGAAAGAUAUAUCAAGUGCAAAACUUACAACAGCCCUAGCAUGUGAGGCUUAUAAUAGGAAUAUUACCAUUGGCUGGAAAAAAGUUCAGAGAAUCAAGCCGAUACCGAAACAUGCACAACUGACGAUAGUGGAAUCUAUAGAGAUUUUACGCAGAGCGGGAAGAGGAGAGAAGCUGGUGAAUGACAAGUUGGCCUGGGAGCCUUCAGCUGCAUGGAG